AUUGAACGCUGGCGGCAGGCUUAACACAUGCAAGUCGAGCGAGCGGCGGACGGGUGUGUAAUGUCUGGGAAACUGCCUGAUGGAGGGGGAUACCUACUGGAAACGGUAGCUAAUACAGCAUACCAUCACAUGUGCCCAGAUGGGAUUAGCGUGGAGGUGGGGUAAUGGCUCACCUAGGCGACUAUCCCUAGCUGGUCUGAGAGGAUGACCAGCCACACUGUAACGGUGACACGGUCCAGACUCCUACGGGAGGCAGCAGUGGGGAAUAGUGCACAAUGGGCGCAAGCCUGAUGCCGCCAUGCCGCGUGUGUGAAGAAGGCCUUCGGGUUGUAAAGCACUUUCAGCGAGGAGGCGUUACUCGCAGAAGAAGCACCGGCUAACUCCGUGCCAGCCGCCGCGGUAAUAC
rnacentral:rRNA from 1 species